UACGUAGGUGGCAAGCGUUAUCCGGAUUUAUUGGGUGUGAAGGGAGCGUAGACGGCAGUGCAAGUCUGGAGUGAAAGGCGGGGGCUCAACCCCCGGACUGCUCUGGAAACUGUACGGCUGGAGUGCAGGAGAGGUAAGUGGAAUUCCUAGUGUAGCGGUGAAAUGCGUAGAUAUUAGGAGGAACACCAGUGGCGAAGGCGGCUUACUGGACUGUAACUGACGUUGAGGCUCGAAAGCGUGGGGAGCAAACAGG
rnacentral:rRNA from 1 species